rnacentral:rRNA from 1 species
GAUGAACGCUGGCGGCGUGCCUAAUACAUGCAAGUCGAGCGAACGGACGAGAAGCUUGCUUCUCUGAUGUUAGCGGCGGACGGGUGAGUAACACGUGGAUAACCUACCUAUAAGACUGGGAUAACUUCGGGAAACCGUAGCUAAUACCGGAUAAUAUUUUGAACCGCAUGGUUCAAAAGUGAAAGACGGUCUUUCUGUCACUUAUAGAUGGAUCCGCGCUUCAUUAGCUAGUUGGUAAGGUAACGGCUUACCAAGGCAACGAUGCAUAGCCGACCUGAGAGGGUGAUCGGCCACACUGGAACUGAGACACGGUCCAGACUCCUACGGGAGGCAGCAGUAGGGAAUCUUCCGCAAUGGGCGAAAGCCUGACGGAGCAACGCCGCGUGAGUGAUGAAGGUCUUCGGAUCGUAAAACUCUGUUAUUAGGGAAGAACAUAUGUGUAAGUAACUGUGCACAUCUUGACGGUACCUAAUCAGAAAGCCACGGCUAACUACGUG